rnacentral:rRNA from 1 species
GACGAACGCUGGCGGCGUGCUUAACACAUGCAAGUCGAGCGAGAAACCUUCGGGUUUCUAGCGGCGGACGGGUGAGUAACACGUGGGUAACCUGCCUCAAAGAGGGGGAUAGCCUUCCGAAAGGAAGAUUAAUACCGCAUAAUAUUACAGUUUCGCAUGAAGCAGUAAUUAAAGGAGUAAUCCGCUUUGAGAUGGACCCGCGGCGCAUUAGCUAGUUGGAGAGGUAACGGCUCACCAAGGCAACGAUGCGUAGCCGACCUGAGAGGGUGAUCGGCCACAUUGGAACUGAGACACGGUCCAGACUCCUACGGAGGCAGCAGUGGGGAAUAUUGCACAAUGGGCGAAAGCCUGAUGCAGCAACGCCGCGUGAGUGAUGAAGGUCUUCGGAUUGUAAAGCUCUGUCUUUUGGGACGAUAAUGACGGUACCAAAGGAGGAAGCCACGGCUAACUACGUGCCAGCCGCCGCCGUAACAC